rnacentral:rRNA from 1 species
AAAGGUGAAAAGAACCCCGGGAGGGGAGUGAAAUAGAACCUGAAACCCUGCACUUACAAGCUGUGGAAGCACAUUUCUUGUGUGACCGCGUACUUUUUGUAGAACGGGCCAACGAGUUACGUUAAGUAGCAAGGUUAAGCACUUAAGGUGUGGAGCCGUAGCGAAAGCGAGUUUUAACUGAGCGUUCAGUUACUUGACGUAGACCCGAAACCGGGCGACCUACCCAUGAGCAGGAUGAAGCGAAAGUAAAAUUUCGUGGAGGUCCGAACCCACGAGCGUUGAAAAGCUCGGGGAUGACUUGUGGGUAGCGGUGAAAUUCCAAUCGAGCCCGGAGAUAGCUGGUUCUCCCCGAAAUAGCUUUAGGGCUAGCCUCAAGGUGAGAGAUACGGAGGUAGAGCACUGAAUGUCCUAGGGGGUAUUGCACCUACCGAAGACUAUCAAACUCCGAAUGCCGUCAUCUUAUACUUGGGAGUCAGACUGUGGGUGAUAAGAUUCAUAGUCGAAAGGGCAACAGCCCAGAUCGUCAGCUAAGGUCCCUAAAUGUAAGUUAAGUGGUAAAGGAUGUGGGAUUGCACAGACAACCAGGAUGUUGGCUUAGAAGCAGCCACUCAUUCAAAGAGUGCGUAAUAGCUCACUGGUCGAGUGAUCCUGCGCCGAAGAUUUCCGGGGCUAAAACUUACUACCGAAGCUACGGCAUCAGUAAUGAUGGGUAGGGGAGCUUCCCAUACGGGUUGAAGCAUGACCGUAAGGACAUGUGGACAGUAUGGGAGUGAGAAUGUUGGCAUGAGUAGCGAGAUGUGGGUGAGAAUCCCACAGGCCGUAAACCCAAGGUUUCCAGGGGAAGGUUCGUCCGCCCUGGGUUAGUCGGGACCUAAGCUGAGGCCGAAAGGCGUAGGUGAUGGACAACAGGUUGAUAUUCCUGUACUACCGAUAACCGUUUGAGAGAAGGGAUGACACAGUAGGAUAAGCUAAGCACACUGUUGGUUAUGUGUGCCCAAGCAUUGAGGCAGUCAAAGUAGGCAAAUCCGCUUUGAUAAUGCUAGGAUGUGAUGGGGAGCGAAAUUUAGUAGCGAAGUAGCUGAUUUCACACUGUCAAGAAAAGUCUCUAUCGAGGUUAAAGGUACCCGUACCGCAAACCGACACAGGUGGGUGAGGAGAGUAUCCUAAGGCCAGCGAGAGAACUGUUGUUAAGGAACUCGGCAAAAUGACCCCGUAACUUAGGGAUAAGGGGUGCCACCAUCAGGUGGCCGCAGAGAAUAGGCCCAAGCGACUGUUUACCAAAAACAUAGGUUUCUGCUAAGUCGCAAGACGAUGUAUAGGAGCUGACGCCUGCCCGGUGCUGGAAGGUUAAGGGGAUCUGUUAGAGCAAUCGAAGCAGUGAACUUAAGCCCCAGUAAACGGCGGCCGUAACUAUAACGGUCCUAAGGUAGCGAAAUUCCUUGUCGGGUAAGUUCCGACCCGCACGAAAGGCGUAACGAUUUGGGCACUGUCUCAACAACAGACUCGGUGAAAUUGUAAUUCCGGUGAAGAUGCCGGAUACCUGCGACAGGACGGAAAGACCCCAUGGAGCUUUACUGUAGCUUGACAUUGGGUCUUGGUACUACAUGUACAGGAUAGGUGGGAGGCUUUGAAACCAGGACGCCAGUUUUGGCGGAGCCAUCCUUGGGAUACCACCCUUGUAGUACUGGGACUCUAACCAUAGGCCAUGAAUCUGGUCUUGGGACACUGUCAGGUGGGCAGUUUGACUGGGGCGGUCGCCUCCCAAAAGGUAACGGAGGCGCUCAAAGGUUCUCUCAGUACGGUCGGAAAUCGUACGUAGAGUGUAAAGGCAAAAGAGAGCUUGAUUGCAAGACAUACAGGUCGAGCAAGGAUGAAAAUCGGACUUAGUGAUCCGGUGGUUCUGCGUGGAAGGGCCAUCGCUCAACGGAUAAAAGCUACCCUGGGGAUAACAGGCUUAUCUCCCCCAAGAGUCCACAUCGACGGGGAGGUUUGGCACCUCGAUGUCGGCUCAUCACAUCCUGGGGCUGUAGUAGGUCCCAAGGGUUGGGCUGUUCGCCCAUUAAAGUGGUACGCGAGCUGGG